ACGAAAACCUGUGAACACGUUUAAAAUUUCGCGUUGGGCGUCGGGGUAAAACUUGCGCCCCUCGCAACCUGCCCGGCCGAACGGCGACCAUACUGGGUUGUCGGUCGUGUCGGGUAACUGAAUCAAAAACCGGCGCGGGAAGCGCCAAGGACUUUACGAAAUGGGAUGCCUUCCUACGGAGAGGGGCCGUUCGCGGAUUCCUUGCCGUGGGGCUUGAGAGGCGCCUCCGAACGAAACAUUACCCCCCCACCUCGCCCCGAAAGGGUCGCGGGCAGUGCGGGGGGGCGGAAGUUGGCUUCCCGUGCUCUGUCGCGGCCAGCCUAAAAAAUGGUUCCCUCGCCGCGGACGUCGCGACAAGUGGUGGUCGUCGAGAUUGAACGCGAGUCGCCGGCAAACCGCGUCGAGGAGAGCGCUUGGACCCUGUGCAUGUGAGUCCCUCUCGAGGGACGACCGGCACGACCAGCGACCUCAG
rnacentral:misc_RNA from 1 species